rnacentral:rRNA from 17 species
CACACGACUCUCGGCAACGGAUAUCUCGGCUCUCGCAUCGAUGAAGAACGUAGCGAAAUGCGAUACCUGGUGUGAAUUGCAGAAUCCCGCGAACCAUCGAGUCUUUGAACGCAAGUUGCGCCCGAGGCCUUCUGGCCGAGGGCACGCCUGCCUGGGCGUCACGC